GAUGAACGCUAGCGGGAGGCCUAACACAUGCAAGCCGAGCGGUAUUGUUCUUCGGAACAGAGAGAGCGGCGUACGGGUGCGUAACACGUGUGCAACCUACCUUUAUCAGGGGAAUAGCCUUUCGAAAGGAAGAUUAAUACUCCAUAAUAUAUUGAAUGGCAUCAUUCGAUAUUGAAAACUCCGGUGGAUAAAGAUGGGCACGCGCAAGAUUAGAUAGUUGGUGAGGUAACGGCUCACCAAGUCAAUGAUCUUUAGGGGUCCUAAGAGGGAGAUCCCCCCACACUGGUACUGAGACACGGACCAGACUCCUACGGGAGGCAGCAGUGAGGAAUAUUGGACAAUGGGUGAAAGCCUGAUCCAGCCAUCCCGCGUGAAGGAUGACGGUCCUAUGGAUUGUAAACUUCUUUUGUAUAGGGAUAAACCUAGAUACGUGUAUCUAGCUGAAGGUACUAUACGAAUAAGCACCGGCUAACUCCGUG
rnacentral:rRNA from 1 species